GAUGAACGCUAGCUACAGGCUUAACACAUGCAAGUCGAGGGGCAGCAUGGGAUUAGCUUGCUAAUCCUGAUGGCGACCGGCGCACGGGUGCGUAACGCGUAUCCAACCUGCCCUCUACUCCGGAACAGCCCGUCGAAAGGCGGAUUAAUGCCGGAUGGUGUCACAUGCCCGCAUGAGUGUGUGACUAAAGGCAACGGUAGAGGAUGGGCAUGCGGCGCAUUAGCUAGUUGGCGGGGCAACGGCCCACCAAGGCGACGAUGCGUAGGGGUUCUGAGAGGAAGGUCCCCCACACUGGUACUGAGACACGGCCCAGACUCCUACGGGAGGCAGCAGUGGGGGAUAUUGCACAAUGGGGGAAACCCUGAUGCAGCGACGCCGCGUGGAGGAAGAAGGUUUUCGGAUUGUAAACUCCUGUCGUUAGGGACGAUAANGACGGUACCUAACAAGAAAGCACCGGCUAACUACGUG
rnacentral:rRNA from 1 species